AGCGUACACGGUGGAUGCCCUGGCAGUCAGAGGCGAUGAAGGACGUGCUAAUCUGCGAUAAGCGUCGGUAAGGUGAUAUGAACCGUUAUAACCGGCGAUUUCCGAAUGGGGAAACCCAGUGUGUUUCGACACACUAUCAUUAACUGAAUCCAUAGGUUAAUGAGGCGAACCGGGGGAACUGAAACAUCUAAGUACCCCGAGGAAAAGAAAUCAACCGAGAUUCCCCCAGUAGCGGCGAGCGAACGGGGAGCAGCCCAGAGCCUGAAUCAGUGUGUGUGUUAGUGGAAGCGUCUGGAAAGGCGCGCGAUACAGGGUGACAGCCCCGUACACAAAAAUGCACAUGCUGUGAGCUCGAUGAGUAGGGCGGGACACGUGGUAUCCUGUCUGAAUAUGGGGGGACCAUCCUCCAAGGCUAAAUACUCCUGACUGACCGAUAGUGAACCAGUACCGUGAGGGAAAGGCGAAAAGAACCCCGGCGAGGGGAGUGAAAAAGAACCUGAAACCGUGUACGUACAAGCAGUGGGAGCACGCUUAGGCGUGUGACUGCGUACCUUUUGUAUAAUGGGUCAGCGACUUAUAUUCUGUAGCAAGGUUAACCGAAUAGGGGAGCCGAAGGGAAACCGAGUCUUAACUGGGCGUUAAGUUGCAGGGUAUAGACCCGAAACCCGGUGAUCUAGCCAUGGGCAGGUUGAAGGUUGGGUAACACUAACUGGAGGACCGAACCGACUAAUGUUGAAAAAUUAGCGGAUGACUUGUGGCUGGGGGUGAAAGGCCAAUCAAACCGGGAGAUAGCUGGUUCUCCCCGAAAGCUAUUUAGGUAGCGCCUCGUGAAUUCAUCUCCGGGGGUAGAGCACUGUUUCGGCAAGGGGGUCAUCCCGACUUACCAACCCGAUGCAAACUGCGAAUACCGGAGAAUGUUAUCACGGGAGACACACGGCGGGUGCUAACGUCCGUCGUGAAGAGGGAAACAACCCAGACCGCCAGCUAAGGUCCCAAAGUCAUGGUUAAGUGGGAAACGAUGUGGGAAGGCCCAGACAGCCAGGAUGUUGGCUUAGAAGCAGCCAUCAUUUAAAGAAAGCGUAAUAGCUCACUGGUCGAGUCGGCCUGCGCGGAAGAUGUAACGGGGCUAAACCAUGCACCGAAGCUGCGGCAGCGACACUGUGUGUUGUUGGGUAGGGGAGCGUUCUGUAAGCCUGUGAAGGUGUACUGUGAGGUAUGCUGGAGGUAUCAGAAGUGCGAAUGCUGACAUAAGUAACGAUAAAGCGGGUGAAAAGCCCGCUCGCCGGAAGACCAAGGGUUCCUGUCCAACGUUAAUCGGGGCAGGGUGAGUCGACCCCUAAGGCGAGGCCGAAAGGCGUAGUCGAUGGGAAACAGGUUAAUAUUCCUGUACUUGGUGUUACUGCGAAGGGGGGACGGAGAAGGCUAUGUUGGCCGGGCGACGGUUGUCCCGGUUUAAGCGUGUAGGCUGGUUUUCCAGGCAAAUCCGGAAAAUCAAGGCUGAGGCGUGAUGACGAGGCACUACGGUGCUGAAGCAACAAAUGCCCUGCUUCCAGGAAAAGCCUCUAAGCAUCAGGUAACAUCAAAUCGUACCCCAAACCGACACAGGUGGUCAGGUAGAGAAUACCAAGGCGCUUGAGAGAACUCGGGUGAAGGAACUAGGCAAAAUGGUGCCGUAACUUCGGGAGAAGGCACGCUGAUAUGUAGGUGAAGUCCCUCGCGGAUGGAGCUGAAAUCAGUCGAAGAUACCAGCUGGCUGCAACUGUUUAUUAAAAACACAGCACUGUGCAAACACGAAAGUGGACGUAUACGGUGUGACGCCUGCCCGGUGCCGGAAGGUUAAUUGAUGGGGUCAGCGCAAGCGAAGCUCUUGAUCGAAGCCCCGGUAAACGGCGGCCGUAACUAUAACGGUCCUAAGGUAGCGAAAUUCCUUGUCGGGUAAGUUCCGACCUGCACGAAUGGCGUAAUGAUGGCCAGGCUGUCUCCACCCGAGACUCAGUGAAAUUGAACUCGCUGUGAAGAUGCAGUGUACCCGCGGCAAGACGGAAAGACCCCGUGAACCUUUACUAUAGCUUGACACUGAACAUUGAGCCUUGAUGUGUAGGAUAGGUGGGAGGCUUUGAAGUGUGGACGCCAGUCUGCAUGGAGCCGACCUUGAAAUACCACCCUUUAAUGUUUGAUGUUCUAACGUUGACCCGUGAUCCGGGUUGCGGACAGUGUCUGGUGGGUAGUUUGACUGGGGCGGUCUCCUCCUAAAGAGUAACGGAGGAGCACGAAGGUUGGCUAAUCCUGGUCGGACAUCAGGAGGUUAGUGCAAUGGCAUAAGCCAGCUUGACUGCGAGCGUGACGGCGCGAGCAGGUGCGAAAGCAGGUCAUAGUGAUCCGGUGGUUCUGAAUGGAAGGGCCAUCGCUCAACGGAUAAAAGGUACUCCGGGGAUAACAGGCUGAUACCGCCCAAGAGUUCAUAUCGACGGCGGUGUUUGGCACCUCGAUGUCGGCUCAUCACAUCCUGGGGCUGAAGUAGGUCCCAAGGGUAUGGCUGUUCGCCAUUUAAAGUGGUACGCGAGCUGGGUUUAGAACGUCGUGAGACAGUUCGGUCCCUAUCUGCCGUGGGCGCUGGAGAACUGAGGGGGGCUGCUCCUAGUACGAGAGGACCGGAGUGGACGCAUCACUGGUGUUCGGGUUGUCAUGCCAAUGGCACUGCCCGGUAGCUAAAUGCGGAAGAGAUAAGUGCUGAAAGCAUCUAAGCACGAAACUUGCCCCGAGAUGAGUUCUCCCUGACUCCUUGA
rnacentral:rRNA from 1 species